rnacentral:lncRNA from 10 species
GGGUCUCCCUCUGUUGCCCAGGCUGGAGGACAGUGGUAUAAUCAUAGCUAACUGCAGCUUUGAACUCCUGAGAACAGCAAUCCUCCUUCCUCGGUCUUCCGCAGCAUUGGGAUUACAGGUCCUGAAGAAAAUGAAGUUGAUGUUUCAGUGAGACACCUGUAUGCCAGAGAGUAAAAGGGAUUAUUGUGGAUUCCUGAGAAUUUUCUACAUAUGAAAUCAUGUCAUCUAUGAACAGAGAAUAGAAAUUAUCAGCCCGAGAAUGAGAUGUCCCUAAUGCAUAAAGAGUUCUGCUAAGGAAAUGAAGCAUGUUCUUCAAGCAAGAAAGAAACUCUUUUCUGGAUUACAGUUAUUCUGACAGCCACAGGCCUCACAGAACUAGCAUAGCCAAGAUUUACACUUCAAAGAAGCAACUAAGGAAGGUAAUGGAGGAAGGAAGAACAUCUCAAAGGACAGAUGUCAAUAUACUUGAAAGAAAUGCUGACAGAGAAGAACCAGGCUCAAUCAACAAACAUUAUCACCUCCAGAGGGACCUACCUGGUAAAACUCAGUGGGAUUUCAGAAUUCCUAUUGGCCACCCACUGCUCUUUGCCUCACAUUUCUUACUUUUCUGAAUGUGUGUACAUUGUGUUUAUCCGCUCCUAUUUCAGCAUUUUACACGUUGUGUGUGGAGGGCAAAUCACAUUUGUAUUUAGCUCAUAGACCACCAGAUGAAGAGAAGCAUCAUGUGCAAUCUUAUAUAAAUCAUUGGAUCCUGAAUUUCAAUCCUGAUUGUCAUUAAAUGUCUUUUGGAUAUCCUAGUAUCUCUGUUACAUUAUUUCCCACACAAAGGUAUAUAAAUUAAUGCAUCCAAGAGGGCAGACUGUGGUUAAUUGCCCUGUUGAUUUCAGCAUAUCACCCUUCCCUUUAUCCACACCCCAUGUCAUGUUAUUGGCUGUUCUUUCUAGUAAGAGGUUGAGUCUGUUUUCUCAUCUGUGGAAUUCGGGAGUACCAUUUGAUUUGUUUAGGAUAAUCAAUUAAGCAGAGUGAUGAUGUGUCUAUUCCAGUACUGGGGCUUAAGAUGUCUUGUGAGUUAUUAUUUGCCCUCCUGCACUUUUGCCACUGCCUGAGAAGGACAUUUAUGAACUAGCCUGCUGGACUCAGGAAAAGGAUGAAACAUGAACAAGAAGGAGGUACAAAGCUGAAUCAUCCCAAGGCUAGAUGUAACCAAAUUCCGCAUUCUAUCCACCCACAGAUGCUAAAGUGAUUCAGCCAUGCAUAUUAGAGCUGCA